UACAGAGGGUGCGAGCGUUGUCCGGAAUCACUGGGCGUAAAGGGCGCGUAGGUGGUGGCUUAAGCGUGCGGUGAAAGCUCGGGGCUCAACCCCGAGUCGGCCGUGCGAACUGGGCUCACUGGAGCAUAGUAGAGGCAGGUGGAAUUCCGGGUGUAGCGGUGGAAUGCGUAGAGAUCCGGAAGAACACCGGUGGCGAAGGCGGCCUGCUGGGCUAUGGCUGACACUGAGGCGCGGACAGCGUGGGGAGCAACAGG
rnacentral:rRNA from 1 species